rnacentral:rRNA from 1 species
GGGGGGGGGUGGGGGGGUGGCUGGGGCCGGGGGGGCGGGCGGGGGCUUCGGGUCUGGUGGCGCACGGGUGCGUAGCGCGUGGGAACCUGCCCUUGGGUUCGGAAUAACUCCCCGAACGGGGUGCUAAUCCCGGCUACUGUCUUCGGACCACAGCUUUCUCUCCUUUGGAUGGGCCCGCGUUGGAUUAGCUAGUUGGUAGGUUAAAAGCCUACCAAGGCGACGAUCCAUAGCUGGUCUGAGAGGAUGAUCAGCCACCAUGGGACUGAGACACGGCCCAGACUCCUACGGGAGGCAGCAGUGGGGAAUAUUGGACAAUGGGCGAAAGCCUGAUCCAGCAAUGCCGCGUGAGUGAUGAAGGCCUUAGGGUUGUAAAGCUCUUUUACCCGGGAUGAUAAUGACAGUACCGGGAGAAUAAGCUCCGGCUAACUCCGUG